CGCACCGCGCAACCGCAGCGCUUGCCGGAAAAGGAGGUGCGAGUGGGCGGAGCACGGCGCAAAGAGAAGGCGGGGAGGAGCUAGAAGGCGCGACCAGGCUGUGGAGCAGGGCGGGGACAGAGGCGUUCUAGGAAAGAAACUCAGCCUCGACUUGGACUGACAGUGCCUCACCUUCCGCUCGGCAAAUACCACCUCCCCAUACCUAACACAUCCUAGACGAACAUUCAAAACUACCCCAACCUCUAGGAAGAUUUCACCAAUAACUCGGCUCUCACUGAUGAACGCUGGAUUCGCAUUACUUUAUUGAAUUGUUCUCCAUCAUGAGUUAUCCCCAGUACACACGUAUAAAGAAAAUGAGACAAAUAUAAUUAUUUCCCUGUUCUAAGUAAAAGUAAUUCUUCUUUUUUUU